AUUGAAUCUAGAAACUAUGGCUUGGCAUGGUGGAUCACUCCUGUAACCCCAGCGCUUUGGGAGGCCAAGGCAGAUGAUCCCUUGAGGCCAGGAGUUCAAGACCAGCCUGGGCAAGAUAGUGAGACACACUCCCCCCAACACACAUACAAAAUAAAAAAUUUAUCCAGGCAUGGUGGUGUGUGCCUGUAGUCUUCACUACUUGGAAGGCUAAGGCAAGAGGAUUGCUUGAGCCCAAGACUUUGAAUGGCAGUAAGCUAUGAUAGUGCCACUGAAUUCCCACCUGGGUGACAGAACAAGAUCCUUUCUCUAAAAACAAACAAAGAAACAAACUCCCACAUUAACGAGAUCACUAGGUGACUUACAGCCAUGAAACUUUGAGAAAUCCUAGGUGGGACCUGAGAUACUGCAUUUCUAACACCAUUCAGAUAAUGUCCAUGCUGCUGGUCUUGGUCCAAGAGACACAGCUUGCAGCAAGUCUUGAGGGUCAUUUAGUAUCAUUUGCUAGUAGUAAAUAAUGUCAGACUUUGAUGUUUGAAAAAAUCUUUAUGUUUAUCUUGGAGUUAGUGCUUAAUGGGACAUGAUAUUUGAGGUUGAGAGUUUUUAUUUAUUUAUUUCAUUUUAGAGAUAGUCCUCUUCUGAUCUGUUGAGAAAUUUUCUUUCUUUUUUUUUUUUUUUUUUUCAAGAUGGAGUCUUGCUCUGUCACCCAGGCUGGAGUGCAAUGGCAUGAUCUCAGCUUCGCUGCAACCUCUGCCUUCUGGGUCCAAGUGAUUCUCCUGCCUGAGCCUCCCAAGUAGCUGGGAUUACAGGUAUGCAUCAACAUGCCUGGCUAAUUUUUUUAUUUUUAUUAGAGACAGGGUUUCACCAUAUUGGCCAGGCUGGUCUCAAACUCCUUACCUCAAGUGACCCUCCCACCUUGGCCUACCAAAGUGCUGGGAUUACAACUGUGAGCCACUGUACUGGGCUGAGAAAUUUUCUAUUCAUAUGAUUAACCUUCCUUGUGGGUAACCUCUGUUUUUCUCUCUUGAUGUUCUCUUUAUCUUUGAGAUUUUGUUUCCUUACUAAUCAUUUAAUAGUGAAUUUCUUUUUAUUUAUAUUGCUUCAAAUCUACUGUGAUUCUAGAAUCUAAAAUUUGGUCUGUAAACAAUUCUGAAAUGUUCUUAUUUAUUUUCUAGGUGAAUAUUGCCUUCCCCAUGUUUUUCCUAUUCUCUCCUUUUAGAAUUUCUUUUAAACAUUUCUUAUAUCUUAUAUAAGAUAUCUUAUAUCUUAUAUAAGAUCCUUAGUAUCUCCUAAUCUCUCUUUUGUAUUUUAUACAGUUUGCCUGUAUGUAUUGCAUUAUAAAUAAUUUCUUGAGAUUUACUUUCUGGUUCACUAAUUCUCUCUUCAGCUGUGCCUUAUUAUGUGUUUAAAAUUUAUAUUGAGUUUAGUUCUUAUUAUUAAAUACCUAUGUUUUCCAUUUCUCUCUAUGCGUAUCUUCUUAGUUUUUUUCAAUGUUAUCAUGUUCUGUUUUACCUAUUUUAGAACCUUGUAUUUUUUUCUCAAAUAAUUUUGAAUGUAUUUACGUUUUAGUCUGCAUUCAUUAUUUCCUCUACUAAAGGUUUUUGGAAGUCUAAUACGUUCUUUAUGCAAGAUCUUGCCUGUGGUGACUUGUUUCCUUGAGCAGUAUUUAAACUUUAAUGUACACAGUUUACCCUUGACCACUACAAGCUUGAACUCUGUGGGUCAACUUAAUACAGUGAGUUCUUUUUUCAACCAAAUGUGGAUAAAAAAUACAGCAUUCAAAAGAUGAGAAACCCAUACAGAGAGCCAACUUUUAAUAUCCACAGCUUCCACAGGGCUGACUGUGGGACUUGCGUAUUCAUGGACUUGGGUACGUUGAGGUCUAGAAACCAGUGUUUCAGUGUACCAACAGAUGAUUGUAGUUCAAUUAUGCAGCAUCUCAUGAAAGUGAGUAUUUUGAUUCAGUAGGUCUAGGGGAAGUCCUAGAUUCUUAAUUUCUAACAAGCUCUCAAUUGAUGCUAAUGCUGCUGAUCCAUAUGUCAUUCUUCCAGUAGCAAGCUCUAGAGUUUUUGUUUUUCUAUUAUUUACUUACUUAGCUUGAAAGAGAUUCAUGUUGGAGAAUUUAUUUGUGACCUGAAUUUAAAACCCUUCUGAAGAAUGUUUUAACCUCUGUCAGGGGCAUUAACCUGGGACUGUUGUGUGUAUAUCCACGUCCACAUGCUGAUUCUUUUUUUUUUCUUUUUUUUUGGCUUGUGGUUUCUAGGAGCUUUCAAGUAGUAUAAAUUUGGAUGCCAAAUUUGCAUUAGAGUUAGGUAAUUGUUAUCAGCUCUCAGAGGAGAGUUUUCUCUGUCCCUUUUCCUCCAAUCUAGGGCCAAUAUGAGAAAGCAAGAUGCUGUGCCAUAUCCCUUUGCUGGUGGUCAGACUCUUUCUAUUGUACUCUCUCAGUGAAGGUGUAAUCCUUCAAAGAUUUUAUUUGAGGGUGUCAGGCCGAACUCCCCACUUUGUAUGGACCCAAGGACUUCUCUUCCAAUUUAUUCAUUAAACCCAAGUUCUCAGGACAUCCCAACACAGGCAAGAUAAGAUUCAAGACUAUAAAUUCUAUGAGGCAUCAUGUUCCUGCAAGGGAAAUUCAGCUAACAGGGUCAAGUGCCUGGUCAUAAGGAGAAAAUGCCAACAUCAUUUAUUUUAUUCCCUGGUUCACUCCUGAGUCACACUGGUGAAUGAGAUGGAAGUGAUUUGGUGCCUAAAUAACCAUGACUGUUUAUAUGUGAAGAUGUCGUUCACGCAGUGGACAAACCUCAGUCAGAAGAUUAUUUUCCAUGUGCUUAUCUGGUACAUGCCUGGAGAACGCAAAUUCACUUCAAUAUUAACAUAAUUUGGAAGGCAAACCCAGCACCAAAGCAUAUGUACUUUAUAAGCAUGAACAACUUUUGAAUUUUCUUCUGUUUGAAAUUUUCUCCAUCAACGUUCCUCUCUACUUAUACAGGGGCAUAGCAGAGUGCUGAAGUUGGCAAGGCCAUGGAUUCAAGAGCUGCGCUGUCUAGCUUCAAGUCCUGGCCUGUGUGAAACCUUAAGCAAGUUACUGAAACUCUCUACAACUAAGUUUUCUUCCUCUAU
rnacentral:lncRNA from 1 species